rnacentral:rRNA from 1 species
ACAGGACUCUGCGAACUCGGAAGAGGACGUAUAGGGUCUGACGCCUGCCCGGUGCCGGAAGGUUAAGAGGAGAGCUGCGAGGCUUGAAUCGAAGCCCCGGUAAACGGCGGCCGUAACAAUAACGGUCCUAAGGUAGCGAAAUUCCUUGUCGGGUAAGUUCCGACCUGCACGAAUGGCGUAACGACUUCCCCACUGUCUCCGGUGCGGUCUCAGCGAAAUUGAAUUCCCCGUGAAGAUGCGGGGUUCCCGCGGUCAGACGGAAAGACCCCGUGCACCUUUACUGCAACUUUGCAUUGGCGUUAGGGACGGCCUGUGUAGGAUAGGUGGUAGGCUUUGAAGUGCGGGCGCCAGCUCGCAUGGAGCCACCCUUGAAAUACCACCCUUGCUUUCUCUGACGUCUAACCGAGGGACUCACCCUCCCCGGGACCGUGCAUGGUGGGCAGUUUGACUGGGGCGGUCGCCUCCCAAAGAGUAACGGAGGCGCGCGAUGGCAGGCUCAGGCUGGUCGGAAAUCAGCCGCUGAGUGCAAUGGCACAAGCCUGCUUGACUGCGAGAUCGACGGAUCGAGCAGAGACGAAAGUCGGCCAUAGUGAUCCGGUGGUCCCGUGUGGAAGGGCCAUCGCUCAACGGAUAAAAGGUACGCCGGGGAUAACAGGCUGAUCACGCCCAAGCGUCCAUAGCGACGGCGUGGUUUGGCACCUCGAUGUCGGCUCAUCGCAUCCUGGGGCUGGAGCAGGUCCCAAGGGUAUGGCUGUUCGCCAUUUAAAGCGGUACGUGAGCUGGGUUUAGAACGUCGUGAGACAGUUCGGUCCCUAUCUGCCGUGGGUGUAGGAAGUUUGAGAGGAUCUGCCUUUAGUACGAGAGGACCGAGGUGGACGUAUCUCUGGUGUACCAGUUGUCACGCCAGUGGCAUAGCUGGGUAGCUAAAUACGGACGGGAUAACCGCUGAAUGCAUCUAAGCGAGAAUAUCGUGACUGGGAAAC